rnacentral:lncRNA from 1 species
AUAAAUUUUGUAGCUGGGUGAGUUUUCCCAGAUUCUUUAGGCCGGUUGCUGGCACUCAGAACCCGGACCUCUGCCCUGGAGUCCCCAUCUUGUGUGCAAAGCUCCACUCGGUGACGCGGAGAGCUGCGAGACUGAGGAAGUAGGAACGUGGGAGAGAGAGAUGGCAGCGGAGCCAGGGGAGGGGAUGGAGCCAGGAAGGAGCGGGGGCACGGAUUCAAAAGCUUCAGCGGUCGGGGAGGAGACAUGACUAUCGUUUGUGCGGGCAGUGCCAGGUGAUGCGGUACUAGAGAGUGCCGCGGGUGACAGAAUAGCAGAGGAGCAGCUUGCCGCGGCGCCUGGUGGAAAGGAAAAAGAAAGCAGGGUCUGGAGAUGCUGGCAAGAGUGGAGAGGAGGGUGAGAGAACAGCUAAACUGCCAUAAUGUGUGACAGAAAGAAAAGCAGGCGAUGGAAGCGAAAGGGAAAGUAUCUGGGGAGAACUUCCAAGACCAAGUUCUCAGACCAAGUUCUCAGCACAAAGAUUUAUUUGUCUUAGAGGUACAGAAGGCCCGGAUAAAGGUCAGAGACAGGAGAUAGAGGAAGAAGGGGAAGGGAACAAAGAAGAGGGCAGAAAGGGGCAAGAGAGAGGGGUUAGGAGUAUUUGUCCAGAAGUGGGACAAAUGACUGUUUCUAGAUAGAGAGGAGACAGAUGUGACCCAUAGGCAAAUGGCGGCUUAUAGAGGUAAAAUGAGAAUCCCCUUAUUAGGACGAGGUGUUUAGCUGGCACAUUAAUUAGGUGAGCCAGAGGUGCCUUUCGGUUGCCAGACUUCAAUGCUUUGAUAGCUGGGCCUUCAUAGUAAGUGUCAGGAGGAGGAAUUGGCCAAAUAAAGGAAUAGACUUUGGGUGUAGCUUUAGGAAUGUAAUCUGAGAGUUUUUAGCAAGGCAGAGAGAGGAAAGGGGCAAGGCCUACCAGAGUCAUGGUCACCAUGCUGGAGCUGGCAAAGUCCCUUCAGAAAGUGUGAAUAAGAUAGUGCAGAAUGAGGGAGGGGCAGGCUGGAUAAAGCAGAAGUUGAUGGAAUAGUAAGGUUAUUAUUACUGAGCUUGUCUUUGUUGUUGAAAUAAAAAAACCCUUAAUUUUUGUUUGAAUUUUAGUGGUAUGGAAGAGAGUUGCAAAACUUGAUCUGAUGGGCAUUAACUGGUAUUGUGUUAGGCAUGGUGGCACAGAUCAGUAAUGCCAGCAUGUGGGAAGAAAGCUGGGGUAGGAAAAUGGAGACUUUAAAGGUGGCGUGGAAUACUAAGACAAAUAACUAAGACACUUUCUCAAUGAAUAAAUACUGUUGGUGUUUACUGAUCCUUUAUAGUCCUUAUACAGCCAGAACUAAUGUGAGAUUUUUUAGACAGUGUCACCCUUCUUUGACAGGGGUAAUGUGUGGAGGAGCUGUGGGAUUCUUCUAACCCCCUAACACUUAACUUUUAGCAUAGAAUGUGUUGCCUCCGGUCACAGUAAAUGUGUGAUGUUUUUUCUCCUUCAGGCACCAACUUAAGUACUUUAACUCAUAUCUUUUUUAUUAUUAUUAUUUUAUAGACAUUUUUAUGAGAUAUUUUCUUUAUUUACAUUUCAAAUGUUAUCCCCUUUCUUAGUUUCCCCUCCGAAAAUCCCCUAUCUCCUCUCCCCUUCCCUUGCUCCCCAACCCACCUACUCCUGCUUCCUGUCCCUGGCAUUCCCCUAUACUGUGGCAUAGAAGCUUCCCAGGACCAAGGGCCUCUUCUUCACACAUGGUGGGACUCAUGGCUCUAGCUAUUUAUUUAACUCAUAUCUUGCUCACUUCAAACGCCACCGUUUCUCACCACUGUACCCUUUCACUUCCAAGUCCCAUGUCCUGAAUAUAACUUGCUAUCACAAGUGCUGUUAAUCUACUCACUCAGCAACAGAUUGUCAGGGAAAUCCUUUGGUUAGGUUUGCUCAUUAUGAGAAACAAGACAAAGGGAACAGGUGACCUUUUCAGAAGAAUCUCCUGUACGUUUCAACAUGUCAUGUAGGGAAGCUGUCCACUUCUGAAGUGUUGGCUGAAGGUUCUGCUUAUAUUGAUUUUGUCUAUUUGGUUAUAUGUGUUUGUAUGUACACAUGUGUGCAUUCUGAGUGUGUGCAGUGGCAUUCCUUGUAUUCCUGAUCUUUCUGAGAAGGGAUCAAGUUUUAGAGAAAAGUGCCAAGUCACCUGUUGUCCCUCCUGCAGUAGUUUGUUGUUGCUAUAUCCUCUUGAUAUAGUGGGCUACAGAUGCCCUUAUUUCUACAUGGUGAAUGAAGUCCUGCCUGUGGCUGUGGCUGUGGCUGUGGCUCUGGACACAGGAAGUGGGUGUCUUGCUGGGCUGGUUCCCAUGCACCUGUAAUCCCAGCUCUCAGAGACUGAAGCAGCAGGAUCAUGCAUUCAAGGCCUGCCCAGGCUAUAUAGUAGAUUCUUGUCUCAAAAGGGGAUGAUAAGUGAAUGCAUGUAUCCUGGAUAUUAUACUUUUGCUAUUUUGAGAGACGGUUCCGUUAGUUCCAUAUGGCCUGAAAAUCACUAUGUUGUCUAGACUUUCAGUUGACAAUCCUCUGCUUUGAACGAUGUGAUUGUAUGUAUAUCCCACAAUAUCCAGGCUUUAUUAUUUAUUCAUUCAUUCCCAGAAUAAGAGUUUUUACUAUAUCACCUUGCAAGCAUGUGAUAUACUUAAUUGUAUGCUUUUGGUAUUCAGGAUUGACUUCUAAACAUUAAUGUUGCACAAGGAAGAACCUGGGAGAAGGAGAAGAAAGAGG